CAAAAAAGUGCUUCAAACACGUUUUAAUAUCAUAAAAAGUACCGGCUGUUUGUGGCUUAUAAACCAUUUUAUUGCUCGUAAAAGUACUAGAAGAAAGUUUUAGCAUCAAAGUAGUGAAAUAAAUGUACUCUUCUCGUAGUUUAUUUAAUAUAUUUAUGGUAGAUGUCUGCAAAUUCUGAGGAAUUAACCUCUUCUCCUCCUGCAAAGAAAGCCAGAACAGACAACGAAAGUAGUGAAGAAAGCACAAUAAAUUUGAAUAAUAACAAUUUUAAUAAUCAUACGGUGGGUUUAUGUUUUACUUGUAUCCUGUAAAGUUUGUGUAACAAGCAUUUCAAUUGUAAAAUGAUACAAUAUUUAAACGUUUAUGUAGGACGGUGACAUGGAUACGUCAAAGAACCACGCACAAAUUGAUGAAAGUCUGUAUUCUAGACAGCUGUAAGUUUGUAUUUAUACUCAUAAUAACCAAUAUAGCAUUGUGUAAACUAUAAAAAUCAGCUAGCCAGAUGUCACUAUUAAUAAAUAUGUCUAAGCAAUCCACUA